rnacentral:lncRNA from 1 species
AGGAGACAAGAAAGGAAAGUCAUUACAAGGUGUUUUGUAAGAUUUGACCUUGCUGAAAUCAAUUAAAAUCAGAGGCAACAUUUGCAAUGGCUGCAGGAGAGCUAGGAGUCUUCUACAUCUUCUACUUGGGUGCAAUUGGAGUGAGAGACCAACUCAUU